GUCUUCAUAUCUGGGUAUAUUUUGACGACCAACAGGCAUGGUUCCAUGUGUAAACAUUUCAGAUAUUGGUAUAAAAUUAUCUUCAUCCAGACUGGAUAUCUCCACACUUGUAAUGUAAAGACUCAUGCUCUCUUUAUCUUUAUUCAUGGUAUGCAAUCGAAUCUUAGUCUCUUCUGUGAUGUUCUGCCUUCUCGUCAGGUUUUCUGUGCAAAAGGUAGUCGAACUUCCGAAGAUGCAGGGUUUGUGUGUAGGAUAG